GACGAACGCUGGCGGCGUGCUUAACACAUGCAAGUCGAACGGAAAGGCCCAGCUUGCUGGGUGCUCGAGUGGCGAACGGGUGAGUAACACGUGGGUGAUCUGCCUCUAACUUCGGGAUAAGCUUGGGAAACUGGGUCUAAUACCGGAUAGGACAAUCGUUUAGUGUCGUUUUUGGAAAGUUUUUUCGGUUAGGGAUGAGCCCGCUGCCUAUCAGCUUGUUGGUGGGGUAAUGGCCUACCAAGGCGUCGACGGGUAGCCGGCCUGAGAGGGUGGACGGCCACAUUGGGACUGAGAUACGGCCCAGACUCCUACGGGAGGCAGCAGGGGGGAAUAUUGCACAAUGGGCGCAAGCCUGAUGCAGCGACGCCGCGUGGGGGAUGACGGCCUUCGGGUUGUAAACCUCUUUCGACAGGGACGAAGCUUUGGUGACGGUACCUGUAUAAGAAGCACCGGCUAACUACGUG
rnacentral:rRNA from 1 species